GAUGAACGCUGGCGGCGUGCCUAAUACAUGCAAGUCGAGCGAACGGACGAGAAGCUUGCUUCUCUGAUGUUAGCGGCGGACGGGUGAGUAACACGUGGAUAACCUACCUAUAAGACUGGGAUAACUUCGGGAAACCGGAGCUAAUACCGGAUAAUAUUUUGAACCGCAUGGUUCAAAAGUGAAAGACGGUCUUGCUGUCACUUAUAGAUGGAUCCGCGCUGCAUUAGCUAGUUGGUAAGGUAACGGCUUACCAAGGCAACGAUGCAUAGCCGACCUGAGAGAGUGAUCGGCCACACUGGAACUGAGACACGGUCCAGACUCCUACGGGAGGCAGCAGUAGGGAAUCUUCCGCAAGGGGCGAAAGCCUGACGGAGCAACGCCGCGUGAGUGAUGAAGGUCUUCGGAUCGUAAAACUCUGUUAUUAGGGAAGAACAUAUGUGUAAGUAACUGUGCACAUCUUGACGGUACCUAAUCAGAAAGCCACGGCUAACUACGUG
rnacentral:rRNA from 1 species